GAUGAAGAACGCAGUGAAAUGCGAUAAGUAAUGUGAAUUGCAGAAUUCAGUGAAUCAUCGAAUCUUUGAACGCACAUUGCGCCCUCUGGUAUUCCGGGGGGCAUGCCUGUUCGAGCGUCAUUAUAACCACUCAAGCUCUCGCUUGGUAUUGGGGUUCGCGGUUCCGCGGCCCCUAAAAUCAGUGGCGGUGCCUGUCGGCUCUACGCGUAGUAAUACUCCUCGCGAUUGAGUCCGGUAGGUCUACUUGCCAGCAACCCCCAAUUUUUACAGGUUGACCUCGGAUCAGGUAGGGAUACCCGCUGAACUUAAGCAUAUCAAUAGCGGAGGA
rnacentral:misc_RNA from 1 species